ACCAUUUUUUUUUGGGUAUGUUCUAUUUGUUGUUGCAUUUCAUAUUAACACAUGUAUAAACUGUAAAUGAUACAAAUAUGUUUCAGAUACAGAUGUGUUUAUAAAUUUGUGGGGGGUAAGACAGGAUUUCGAGGACGAAAUGGGCUAUUUGAAGGUUUUAUUAUGGGAUGAAAUUGGUUAUUUAUUUGUUUCCGUUCUACUGUGGAGGUCUUCUUUCUUUUGCACAUAACAUAUUUGAUGAAAGUCCUGUUCAGACACUCAAAUGAAACCAACUUAUUCAUCGCUUUCAAUUUCUACUUUGCUUCAACUCUAGUCACACUAGAAAUAGAGUAAAUCAAUCAUCAAACAAUAAUCAACAAUUUCAGUUUCAAUGCCAUUUGAAAAUAGAGAAUAAAUCAACAGUCCACAGAUCAAACCAAGUUCAGUUUGUUGUUGUCUGGGGUUUCAGCGACGACAUUUGUAUUCUAUGUUUGCAACAGAAAUUCUAAUGCCAUACAGAUUCCUAUUACUCCUAUCAAUCGCAAUAUUUAUCAUACCAGUGUUCUGUUUUUAGAUGGUGGCUAUGAGGCGGUGAAGAAGGAGAGGCAACUAAGGGGCUGACAAUAAUGGCUUAAAGACAGUGGAGUUUUGUGGUCGUUGUUCAGUGAACGAGGGACAACUGGGUUAUUUUGGUGAAGAAGAUGAAUAAGUGGCUGAAUUCCGAUCUUCAUUGUAGCCCAUGUGUAAGAAAAAGAAGAUCCAAAAUGGUCAAUUGUUCUCCAACAAAAAAAUUAAUGAAGAAUCUCCCAAAUUUUCACCCACAAGUAAACAUAAUAUUCUCUCCUUUCUUGGAAUAAUUUAUGUAUUUUGGUUUCUGAGUUUGUGGUCAGAUCUGAAUGUAUUCCAUAGCGAUCUCGGGAUUUAUGGGGAGUGUUUGAUUUCCACAUUGCGUUAUCGCGAUUUUGAGUUUGUUUUGUCUUGUACUAUGUACACUAGGAUCGAUCGCCUGUGUCAUUUAGAUUCUCCAGUAGAUUUAGUUUCACUUUUUAGCCUAGAUGUUGUGCAGGUCUUUUUGCGUCUCCUAUUAUAUAUAGAUAGAUUGUUUCCAUAUAAAAGUUUGAGAUAUUCUUUACACAUGAAUUGGGCUGUAUUGAAACUUAAUUUUGAUCCA